GUCAGGAUAACCGAGUGGUUUAAGGCGCUUCGUUCAGGUCGCAGUCCACUUCUGUGGGCGUUGGUUCGAACCAUUUCUGACA